rnacentral:rRNA from 1 species
GGAUGCGAUCAUACCAGCACUAAAGCACCGGAUCCCAUCAGAACUCCAAAGUUAAGCGUGCUUGGGCGAGAGUAGUACUAGGAUGGGUGACCUCUUGGGAAGUCCUCGUGUUGCAUUCC